GGGGAUGAUCGGCUUUGAAAGAAGAAUAAAUUUUUUAUCGGCAGGCAGAGGAUGAACGGUUACCUCUUUAAUCAACUGUUCAAAACACAAAUGCAGAACAAACUGCUUAUGUUCCGGCUUACGCUCUUGCGUACGCUUAGGGACAAGAAUUUCGCCUAAGCGCGAAAACCGCCCUUGCCUUGAUGUCUCAUAGAGAUAAAGGGUGUAAUAUAUGAGACUUGGUUUCGUCUUUCUCCGAAGCGAAGCGACACAAAAGGAGAAAAACUUCCGCGUAUUUUGCUCGGUUCUCGAGCGCGGAAUUACAAAAAUAACCGAGACAAGCCCGUAGAUGAUAUCAAGUUUUUCUUUUUCACGUGGGUUCGAUUCCCGCCAUCUCCACUC
rnacentral:tmRNA from 1 species